ACACUUUAAACAAGAUCACCUUGAGAUCACAUGAACACCUUUAUAUUCACAACAUGAUUGCCUUUACUUCAUUUGAUUCUCAUUCAAGUCCUUCACAUCACAUUCACAUAUAUGAUAUCAUGUCAACACUUCAAUUCCUCAUAUAAUGCCUCCAAGGCCAUAAACACAAUACAUUCAAUAAGUAAACACCUCCACCAUAAGUGGAUCACACAUCAAUCUAUCACAAUUCUAUAUCAAUUCUACCUUAACAAUGAAGUUAGGUCCACUUACCCUUUUUCCCAAGCCACAAUCACCAUUCCUCAACUCUCCAACAAUUCACAAUAGAUAAGCAUAGAUAAUAAUAGAAGUCAACUAUUCAACUCAAUCCAAGCAUACUUCCAUCAUCAUUCAAUCAUAAAUAAUAAACCCACUUCAUAAGCCAACUUUAGGAAACUUGCCAAGACAUG
rnacentral:lncRNA from 1 species